rnacentral:rRNA from 1 species
GACGAACGCUGGCGGCGUGCCUAAUACAUGCAAGUUGAGCGCUGAAGGUUGGUACUUGUACCAACUGGAUGAGCAGCGAACGGGUAAGUAACGCGUGGGUAAUCUGCCUUUGAGCGGGGGACAACAUUUGGAAACGAAUGCUAAUACCGCAUAAAAACUUUAAACACAAGUUUUAAGUUUGAAAGAUGCAAUUGCAUCACUCAAAGAUGAUCCCGCGUUGUAUUAGCUAGUUGGUGAGGUAAAGGCUCACCAAGGCGAUGAUACAUAGCCGACCUGAGAGGGUGAGCGGCCAAAUUGGGACUGAGACACGGCCCAAACUCCUACGGGAGGCAGCAGUAGGGAAUCUUCGGCAAUGGACGAAAGUCUGACCGAGCAACGCCGCGUGAGUGAAGAAGGUUUUCGGAUCGUAAAACUCUGUUGGUAGAGAAGAACGUUGGUGAGAGUGGAAAGCUCAUCAAGUGACGGUAACUACCCAGAAAGGGACGGCUAACUACGUG